rnacentral:tRNA from 1 species
CCUUUCUAAGGAUGAUCAAGAAUUGGAAAGUCUUUAAACAAAGACACGCACUUUAAUAAAAUAAAGUCAACUUCCUUUUUGAUCUCAUUAGACACAAAAGGUUUAAACGGACUUGUUUAAACUUGAAAGCAUAUGAUGCUUCCUCUCAAGUUCCCUCUCGUUUAAGAGAGAGUUCCGUGAGAAGUGUUUCUAUGUUAAGAUAUAUAAGCAGACUAGCCGUCUUCGUUUCUCUUUCUUCAGAUGAUGAUCCCAAGCCUUCUGGCGAUCCGUAGCAAGUUUUUUGUGAGACUUGAGAAGAGUGUUUUUUUUAAAGAAUGCUUUUUCAUGCGAUAAUGCCGGGGAAGGUUUUCCGGUUUAUCCCGGAGGGCUUGUAGCUCAGUUGGUUAGAGCGCGCGCUUGAUAAGCGUGAGGUCGGAGGUUCAAGUCCUCCCAGGCCCACCAAUUAUCCAUUCUUUAAAAAAGCGCUUGUAACAUUUGGUUUAUAAUGCUCGGCUGGUCGAAUUUGAAAAGACGUGUUUGUCUUUUUUGAGAAGAUAUAGCAUUUAUCUGUUUUUUAAAGCUCUUGAAACUGAAAGUGGUUUAAAGGCAAAGAUCUUUAAAUAUAGGGUUCUUUAAACAUGAAGAUCUUUCCAUGCAGAGCUCUUGAAGCGGAAAAUAAAGUUCCAGCUUUUCACCCUAGUUUCCAGCUGUUAACAGCCCAUGACUUAGAGUUAGAAAUGACUUAAAGUUUUGAGGAUAUUAAGGUUUUUGAAGAGUUAAAAUCUUGAGAGCUUGAAACUUCAGAGAGUGAGCGUUCAGUUUGAGAGUGCAAGAGGUUUUGGUUAGAAGUGUUUAGGGGGCCGUAGCUCAGCUGGGAGAGCACCUGCUUUGCAAGCAGGGGGUCGUCGGUUCGAUCCCGUCCGGCUCCACCAUUUGGUCAUCAUCAUUGUUGUGAGAACAUAGUUUAGUAAGAGGUUUAGAAACCUUUUGCUUGUUCUAUUGAAAUUGUGAAGAGAAGAUAUAUUCAGACAUGUUCCUUUUGAACUGUUUGUUUUAAAGGCGAGGGCUUUUCUUAUGGGGAAAGCUUAUGAGGAAUGCUUAUUGUCGAAAACGUGUUUUUUAGAAAAAUUAUCUGAAAAGCAAGUUUAGGAAACAGAUGGGUCUUUUGUUUAUUUUAAAGCUUAUGUUUAUUUUGAAGUUCUCAGGAGCCGUUUUUUUAUGAAAAGGCUUUCAAGAAGUCUCAAAAAGCAAUGCAACAAUAGAGUGUGUGUACAGAAAAAGUAUAGGCAGGAAAUUGUUAUGUAGCAAGAAACGAAGCCAAAAGAGAGAAAAGAAGAAAAAUCAAAAGCAACAUUGUGUCGCAAGGGAACGCUCAAAGCCCUUGCUUAUGAUUGGAAGCUUAACCGCGCCAUUGAAUAUAUCUCGAGAAUCUGGUCUUUUCUGCUGAUAUUUAUGUUUAUUUUGCGCUUUGUUUUGCACAAGAUAAAGUCACGCGGAUAAACGAAGAA